UGCUCCGCUGCUCCGCUGCUCCGGUUGCAGUUCACAGCGCUGACCGUCUUUGCUCGAUUCCUGUAAUGGUCCACUCGGUUUGCCGCCGUGUUGUUGCGCCAGAGGGCUUCUGUUUACGCUUGCAGCGUGACAUGUGGUUAACACAGCAGAUGUGAGCGAUAUAAAUGUAGCAGAAACAGACACAGCCUGCUCUGGGGAUGAUGAGUGAUGUUGGGUUUCUGACUAACAGAAAAUAAGUCCAGUGAUGUCUUUCCUUCAACACGGUGACAAAACCUGCUGAACGACGGAAGUUCUUCGGCUUUUAAAAUAUGCAGGGUGUGGAGAAGAAGUUGGUGCAGAACUUCUAGUAAAGUGCUGCCGCAUCAAAACAUUAUGUCUUGAAGAGAGAGUGCUGUGCCAUAAACCUCCAGGCACCGACAACUGCCAAUGCAUUGGAAGCACCCGACCACAGCCGACACUGAGUCCGUCCAUCUGAAAACUUCGAGCAUCCAACCAGCCCCUCUGAUACAGCCUCCCGGGAAAAGACAUUACAGGGGCCGUGGACAAUUCUGAUUUGAUGGAGACAGACCUGAGAAGCACAGAGGAAUAUCUGGAGAAAUUUCUGAAAUUCCGGUUGGCUGCCGCUGUUACUGCGCGAUUGAGAAUCUUCUGGAGGGAAGGCUCCAAAAUCCCCGGCUUUGCCUGCUGCUGGCGACCGAGGCUGAGGUCAAAGUGUUCGGAUAGAGAUGCUGCUCGGUACUCGGUGUCGGAGGGCUGAUCGGAGGCUCGAAGUUUUUGGACGACUCAAAGACGGACUGUGGUCAGGCAUGGCAGGAAGAGUUUUCUUCCUUCUCCCGUCUGCGUGAGACAUGGGACAUUCAAGAGACUUUGAACUUUUUUACUGUGCUAUGGCCUGUUCUUCAUCAAGUUAUGGUACUGUUGCACUGUUGUAACUAUAUGUUAUAAUUAUGUGGUUUUUGUUAGUUUUUCAGUCUUGGUCUGUCCUGUGUUUCUGUGAUAUCACACCGGAGGAAUAUUGUAUCAUUUCUUAAUGUAUGCAUUACUAAAUGACAAUAAAAGAGGAUUGUGUGUCCUCAUAAUCUAUAAUCUAUUUCCGA